rnacentral:rRNA from 1 species
CAUGCAAGUCGAGCGGGUAGCAAUACCAGCGGCGGACGGGUGAGUAACACGUAAACAAUCUGCCCUGAAGCGGGGAAUAACUAUCCCAACGGAUAGCUAAUACCGCAUAAUGAUGGAGGUGGCAUCACCUCUUCUCAAAAGGCUUCGGCCACUUCAGGAUGAGUUUGCGUCCCAUUAGCUUGUUGGCGGUGUAAUAGACCACCAAGGCAACGAUGGGUAUCCGGCCUGAGAGGGUGUACGGACACAUUGGGACUGAGAUACGGCCCAGACUCCUACGGGAGGCAGCAGUAGGGAAUUUUGCGCAAUGGGGGAAACCCUGACGCAGCAACGCCAUGUGUGGGAUGAAGCAUUUCGGUGUGUAAACCACUGUCAGCGGGGAAUAAAUGGCCUCUUCGGAGGCAGUUGAAUGUACCCGCAAAGGAAGCCCCGGCUAACUUCGUGCCAGCAGCCGCGGUAGUACGAGGGGGGCAAAUGUUGUUCGGAAUCACUGGGCGUAAAGGGAGCGUAGGCGGGCUCUUAAGUUAGGUGUUUAAUCCCGGGGCCCAACCCCGGACAGGCACCUAAAACUGGGAGUCUUGAAUAGUGGAGAGGUCGGCGGAAUUGGGGGUGUAGCGGUGGAAUGCGUAGAGAUCCCCAAGAACACCAGUUGCGAAGGCGGCCGACUGGACACAUAUUGACGCUGAGGCUCGAAAGCAUGGGGAGCAAACAGGAUUAGAUACCCUGGUAGUCCAUGCCAUAAACGAUGAAUACUAGGUUUUGGGGCCCGUCAACGGUCCAGAGCCGCAGCUAACGCGUUAAGUAUUCCGCCUGGGGAGUACGGUCGCAAGACUGAAACUCAAAGGAAUUGACGGGGGCCCGCACAAGCGGUGGAGCAUGUGGUUUAAUUCGACGCAACGCGAAGAACCUUACC